rnacentral:rRNA from 1 species
CAGCCGCCGCGGUAAUACGUAGGGUGCGAGCGUUAAUCGGAUUUACUGGGCGUAAAGCGUGCGCAGGCGGCCCGUUAAGACAGGUGUGAAAUCCCUGGGCUCAACCUAGGAAUUGCGCUUGUGACUGGCGGGCUCGAGUACGGUAGAGGGGGGUGGAAUUCCUGGUGUAGCAGUGAAAUGCGUAGAGAUCAGGAGGAACACCGAUGGCGAAGGCAGCCCCCUAGGCCUGUACUGACGCUCAUGCACGAAAGCGUGGGGAGCAAACAGGAUUAGAUACCCUGGUAGUCCACGCCCUAAACGAUGGGUACUAGCCGUUUGGUGCGCGAUAGCGCUGAGUGGCGAAGCUAACGCGUGAAGUACCCCGCCUGGGGAGUACGGCCGCAAGGUUGAAACUUAAAGGAAUUGGCGGG